UACGGAGGAUCCAAGCGUUAUCCGGAAUUAUUGGGUUUAAAGGGUCCGCAGGCUGUUUGUUAAGUCAGAGGUGAAAGCCUACCGCUCAACGGUAGAACUGCCUUUGAUACUGGCAAACUUGAGUUAUUGUGAAGUAAUUAGAAUGUGUAGUGUAGCGGUGAAAUGCAUAGAUAUUACACAGAAUACCAAUUGCGAAGGCAGAUUACUAACAAUAUACUGACGCUGAGGGACGAAAGCGUGGGUAGCGAACAGGAUUAGAUACCCUGGUAGUCCACGCCGUAAACGAUGGUCACUAGCUGUUUGAUGUACAUUGGUAUAUUGAGUGGCUAAGCGAAAGUGAUAAGUGACCCACCUGGGGAGUACGCUCGCAAGAGUGAAACUCAAAGGAAUUGACGGGGGCCCGCACAAGCGGUGGAGCAUGUGGUUUAACUCGAUGAUACGCGAGGAACCUUACCAGAACUUAAAUGUAAGUUGCAUGAUUCAGAAAUGAAUCUUUCUUCGGACUACUUACAAGGUGCUGCAUGGUUGUCGUCAGCUCGUGCCGUGAGGUGUCAGGUUAAGUCCUAUAACGAGCGCAACCCCUAUCGUUAGUUGCCAUCAAGUAAAGUUGGGAACUCUAACGAAACUGCCGGUGCAAACCGUGAGGAAGGUGGGGAUGACGUCAAAUCAUCACGGCCCUUACGUUCUGGGCUACACACGUGCUACAAUGGCCGGUACAGAAAGCAGCCACUAUGCGAAUAGGAGCUAAUCUUUAAAACCGGUCUCAGUUCGGAUCGCAGUCUGCAACUCGACUGCGUGAAGCUGGAAUCGCUAGUAAUCGGAUAUCAGCCAUGAUCCGGUGAAUACGUUCCCGGGCCU
rnacentral:rRNA from 1 species